CCCGCGGCGGCCGCCGCAGCCCGCCCGCCCGCCGCCACCCGGCCCGCCGCGGGGCCCCGGGCCCGAGACUGGCGCCCCGCGCCCCGGAUUCGCCUCGGCUCGGCCGCGCGGCAUUGAAAAGGAAAAGAUGAAAUAUAUGUUUAUAUAUAACUCUGUUUCUGCAUACCUCACUGGCGUCAAAACGCAUUUAAUUGUUCUAUUUCCCUUUUCUCCAUGAUCUCCGACCCUGGUACAGUAGAAGAAACUGAGGUACCGUGAAACAGGAAAGUCUCUGGGACUGAGAAAAAGAGGUAGGGGUCCCCCUGGCAUUUUCAUCCCACUUGCCUGGCGCAUGAUGUCCCACCGUACCACAGUGUUUAUCUUAGGAAUGGAGCUGGGAAUCGGAUGGAAGGUUGGAAAGGAGUCCCAAAGUAGCUCUCUCAUCCGGAGAUCCAGCCGAGAAGUCCUCUAAAACUUGCCUCUUGAACAGGGCGGGCAAAGGAAGGAGGGCAAAAAGCU